rnacentral:tRNA from 1 species
UCUAAAAUGGCAGAAAGAGUGCAUAGAGUUUAAGCCCCUACCAGGAAGAAUUUUUUUACUUCUUUUAGAA